rnacentral:lncRNA from 1 species
AUGACCUAGGCAGUUUUAAGGAGUACUGCUAGAAAUGUUUUUCUCAAUUGGAAUAUUUGUGAAAGUUUGUCAUGAGAUCGUUAGUGGAUGUUGUAUUUUGCCACAUGCUUUCUUCAAUGGAUAUAAUAAUAUGAUUUUUCUUCUUAAAUGUGUUGACAUGGUAGAUUACAUUGAUAUAGUGUAAAUACUAAAACAGGCUUGAAUAUCUGGAAUAAAUCCCACUUGGUCUUGUUAUAUAAUUCAUUUCACACUUUGUUGGAUGUGUUGAGAAUUUUUGCCUGUAUUUUCUGUGAGAUACCAAUUCAUAGUUUUCUUUCUUCUAAUAACUUUAUCUGGGUAAUGUUGGCCCAUAGAAUGAAUAAGGAUUGAUCCCUUUGCUUUUAUUUUUUGAGAAGAUUACAAAAAAUAAAUAUGUUUUCAUGUUAAAUGUUUUAAAGAAUUCAUCAGUGAAAUUUGAGAUUCAUGCUCUCUUUUUGGAAGAUAUUCGAUUAUUGAUAAUUUUCUGUAGAUAAAGAGCUACCGAUAGUAUCUAUUUCUCCUUAUGUGAAUUUUGGCUUAAUUUGCUCUUCUUUGUCAAGAUUUCUAAUGCUGAGCUGAGCUAGUUGAUUUGUAUUCCUUUCCUUCUAAUGCAUAUAUUUAUCAAAGACUUGGAACCAACCGAAACAUCCAUCAAUGAUAG